GGUAGCUCGUCAGGCUCAUAACCUGAAGGCCGCAGGUUCAAAUCCUGCCCCCGCAU
rnacentral:tRNA from 1 species